GAUGAACGCUGGCGGCGUGCCUAACACAUGCAAGUCGAACGGAGUUGUUAUUAGGAAGUUUUCGGAUGGAAUAAUAAUAACUUAGUGGCGGACGGGUAAGUAACGCGUGGGUAACCUGCCUCAUACAGGGGGAUAACAGUUGGAAACGGCUGCUAAAACCGCAUGACAUUGCGAUGUCGCAUGACAAUGCAAUGAAAUAGUUAUAGGUAUGAGAUGGGCCCGCGUCUGAUUAGCUAGUUGGUGAGGUAAUGGCCCACCAAGGCGACGAUCAGUAGCCGGCUUGAGAGAGUGACCGGCCACAUUGGGACUGAGACACGGCCCAAACUCCUACGGGAGGCAGCAGUGGGGAAUAUUGCACAAUGGGGGAAACCCUGAUGCAGCGACGCCGCGUGAGUGAAGAAGUAUUUCGGUAUGUAAAGCUCUAUCAGCAGGGAAGAAAAUGACGGUACCUGACUAAGAAGCCCCGGCUAACUACGUGCCAGCCGCCGCCGUAA
rnacentral:rRNA from 1 species